rnacentral:other from 3 species
UAGAACCUGGGGUGUUCGUUUAUCAGCUUUAAAUUCAACCGACAUAUUUUAUACGGGAACUUUAUAGUUUGGUAGUGGAAGAAAUGCCUGAAGAAGGACUUCGGAAAUUAACAACAAAGUACCCACCUGGGUUGAUCUCGGGUAUUGAAUUUGGGCAAUGACGGCAUCCUGGGUUUUGU